CUUAAAAGAUCAUUAUUGGGCCAAGAAUUAUGACUUUUUAACUCAAGUUGGCCCAUUCUCGACCCAAGUGUUAUUUUAAAUCCAAAUAAAUCAUAAAAUCAAGUAUCAACAAAUUGGAUAGAAACAAUGAUAGGCGUGCAAAACGAAAAGAGAGACGUAUGGAACUCAUUAACCUAGUUAUUAUAAAUAUGCAUGAUUACUGAUUAUAGUCAAUAUUGGCCUUUUUUUCAUUUAGAGAAACAACAAACGUUGUUGGGCUUUAAGGUUAUUGAAGUUGUUGAUGCACAAAACUGGAGGUCUUGGAACAACAUAAAUCCGGCCGUGAAUCUGCAAGAAAUGUAAAUAACACAAGAUGUAUCGUGGUUCACCCUAAUGUUUGGGCUACGUCCACACUGAUUAUUGUAUUUCUUUGAGAA
rnacentral:lncRNA from 1 species